CACGUCUUGUUUUGUGAUUUGUUCACAGAGGAUGAGACAAAUGAGGGACAGGAGGCCUCCAUCACGGGGAUCGGUGACUCCGGCACCGACACAGAGGGUCCCUGAGAUCGCAGGUGCAGAGGCUCAGACCGUCGCCACGUCAGCGGCGCCGGCGAUCGUCACCGGCACCACCGU